AACGAACGCUGGCGGCGUGCCUAACACAUGCAAGUCGAACGUGAAAAUCUUCGGAUGAGUAAAGUGGCGUACGGGUGAGUAACACGUGGGUCAUCUACCUUAAAGCCUGGAAUAACCUGCCGAAAGGCGGGCUAAUACUGGAUAGAUCGAUUUUAUCGGGAAAGGGAGCUGGUAACAGCCCUCACUUUAAGAUGAGCCCGCGUCCCAUUAGUUAGUUGGUGAGGUAAUGGCUCACCAAGACGAUGAUGGGUAGCUGGUCUGAGAGGAUGAUCAGCCACACUGGGACUGAGACACGGCCCAGACUCCUACGGGAGGCAGCAGUAGGGAAUCUUCCGCAAUGGACGAAAGUCUGACGGAGCAACGCCGCGUGAGCGAAGAAGGCCUUCGGGUCGUAAAGCUCUGUUGUUAGGGAAGAACAAGUACCGUUCGAAUAGGGCGGUACCUUGACGGUACCUGACGAGAAAGCCACGGCUAACUACGUGCCAGCCGCCGCAGUAA
rnacentral:rRNA from 1 species